rnacentral:lncRNA from 1 species
AAACAGGCUACUGCUAUUAAGGAUUGCACAACUUCUGGGCAAGGCAGAGGUGGGUUUGGCUUUUUAAAAAUUUUUUCAGCCUGUCCUCAUGGAACUACAUAUUCUUUUCUAAGAACUUUUCAUCCUAACCUCCCUACUCACAUCUUCUAAGUGUCUCUGCUCUGGUGGGAAUGUGAUGGACAACACAGAGCCAUCUCAGAAGCCUCUGUGGCCACCACCAGGCCGGCCAGGGUGCAGGGGGCCACUCCCUGGGCAGCCAUAGGGUUCUCAGCAAGGUGCAUUCGUCGUCCCUGCUGAGAAUCUGAUGGGGCAGCAUUUUUUUUUUUAAUUAAAUGCAAGCUGAGUCAUUUCAACCUGCAACCUUCAGGUAACAGGAGUUACCCAAGCUCCAGGAAUUAUGAUUGUGGGGUAAACCCAUUCUCUUGUUUUCUUGCGGUUCUAUUUUAUAACGCACUAGAGGAGACAGAGACGUCAUUGCUUCACCCAGGGCAAGAGGACAAAGGAGGAUGCAUGGAAAUACAAACAGCCCUUCUCCUCCAGGCCAUACCGACUGUCCAACUAGCAACAGACUUCACCUGGUUUUGGAGCAAUCUGAAUUUGGAAUAUGCCAGAGAAAACUUCUAUCAGGCAAGAUGGAAGACUCCUAGGAUAGGUCUCUCUCAUGGAGGGAUUGGCACGAUGGUAAGAGUCCAGUGGAUGGAAAAGGCCUCCUCCUUAAAGAUGGUGAUGGAAACGAGCACUGCACAGGGAAACACAAAUCAGGUCCCCUGAAAUCCAGCCCAACCUGGCCAGACCCUCCAGUGCCCAUCAGGGCUUAUGAACAGGGUGCUUCAGUGUCUUUGUUAGGGGUGGUUAAAAAGGAGCACGUGCUUAUAGGGGAUGCUGCUGAGCUCCAUGAUUUUGACUUCCUGUCUAACCUGUUGAUGCUACAAAACUCUUUUAAAAACAGUUACCAUGGGAACUUUUCCCUAGCAAGCAUUCUUCAAGAAACGUUACAGGUGCUGGUGAAUUCAAUGCCCUUGGUGUCAAUAAGCUUUUGCUGAGUCUUAGAAUGUGUGGCUUGAACUGAGAGGACUUUCAAACAGAUAAUGCGAAGUUUCCAAUGCAAAUGUCUUCGGGGUUAAGUGUCAGUGAAGUGCAGUGGAAGGUAGGGGGAUAAAAUGAUCUCAGUGUAUAUGGAGGCCCCACUUAAGCAUUCAAAAAAUUCUAUAUACAGUGUUUUCAAUGUAUUAUGUAUCAGCAAAACAAAAUACCCCAUAGGGCUAUAAUCAGCUCAGGGGGUCACCUCAGCAAGAGAUGCUCUGGCUAUCACUCCUACUACGGGAUUUCCUCUCUCAUCAGAACCAGUAGGUGGUCAAAACCACAAUAAUGCAUAAAUGAAGGCAGGGAAUUGGGUAUCCAAUGUGAGCAACUGAAAAGGUGCCAUGUAUUAGCUAUUUGCCAUUAUGGUUCUGCAAGUGCUCAGAUGACUCAUAAAAUGACCAGAACAAAA